rnacentral:piRNA from 1 species
UGAAUGCUGAGAGAGCUGCUUCAGACA